UACCCCUUCUGCACACCUGAUGAGAUCGAAGCUGGCCUGCAGGCCGGUCUCGACAGAGUGGCAAGCAUGUGAACGAGUGGACCGGAACAAUGAUGGCACCAGACAGCACUGAUUCCGGGAACACGUCUGCAGGGGCAAGGGGACAGGUGCAGAGCUGAUCUCGGGGAUCCCCUCUCACUGCAGGGACUGCUGAAAGGGUAGGCUAUAGGUAUGGGGAGAUGGCCGCCAGCCACCGUGACACCACAGCCUGGCUGCGAAUGGAGCAGAGUAGGAGCGAGAAACUCGCUCCUGGUGACAGGGUGUGAGCCCCUGGAUCCGACCGUGCCUGAAGCUCACAAGAACCCUGAGACCUCUCGCUGAGUUGCCAAAUACCAGGAAAUGGAGGCUCAGAGGGGUUAAGUGGCUUGAACAAGGCUGCACACCAGCUGUCUGGAGUCUGCCCAACUUGAAGAUCAAGCCCCUUCCACUGCUCCCAGGUGGCAGUCUGCAUGGUAGGCAACAAACGGCAACGGGAGGAGGCAGGGAGUGAAGGGGCUUCCUGACAGGAGAGCCCGAGAAGCCACUGGAAGGAGAAUGUGUUUGGUGCCAGGAAGGCCCGCAGGGAGGCAGUGCGAGCAGGACGCACAGCUCGCAAACUGGAGGCCAUCCUGUCUUUUUCAGUUUUCAUUUUUACCGACUCCGCAUAGAAUAAAAGAUUUUGUGUAAUA